UACGUAGGGGGCAAGCGUUGUCCGGAUUUAUUGGGCGUAAAGAGCUCGUAGGCGGCUCGGUAAGUCGGAUGUGAAACCUCCAGGCUCAACCUGGAGACGCCAUCUGAUACUGCCGUGGCUUGAGUCCGGUAGAGGAGCAGGGAAUUCCUGGUGUAGCGGUGAAAUGCGCAGAUAUCAGGAGGAACACCAGCGGCGAAGGCGCUGCGCUGGGCCGGUACUGACGCUGAGGAGCGAAAGCGUGGGGAGCAAACAGG
rnacentral:rRNA from 1 species